rnacentral:rRNA from 1 species
GACGAACGCUGGCGGCGUGCUUAACACAUGCAAGUCGAACGGAAAGGCCCUGCUUUUGUGGGGUGCUCGAGUGGCGAACGGGUGAGUAACACGUGAGUAACCUGCCCUUGACUUUGGGAUAACUUCAGGAAACUGGGGCUAAUACCGGAUAGGAGCUCCUGCUGCAUGGUGGGGGUUGGAAAGUUUCGGCGGUUGGGGAUGGACUCGCGGCUUAUCAGCUUGUUGGUGGGGUAGUGGCUUACCAAGGCUUUGACGGGUAGCCGGCCUGAGAGGGUGACCGGCGACAUUGGGACUGAGAUACGGACCAGAAUCGUACGGGAGGCAGCAGUGGGGAAUAUUGCACAAUGGGCGGAAGCCUGAUGCAGCAACGCCGCGUGCGGGAUGACGGCCUUCGGGUUGUAAACCGCUUUCGCCUGUGACGAAGCGUGAGUGACGGUAAUGGGUAAAGAAGCACCGGCUAACUACGUG